UGGGGCAGCCCCGGGGCCAAAAGGGGAAGAUGUUUGCCGGUGCCUCCCUAGUUUCCGCUCGGAGGAGAGGGGGAGGAAGGGCCCCGCGGCCGCCGAAAGAGCAAACCCUUCUCUUUUUUAAGUUGCCUCGUUGCAUCUUCCCUCUGGGAUGGCGCAGGGGACGGAGCCUGAUGAGCCAGCCCUUCCUUACCCAGUCCUCACCUGCAGCCCCAGUGGUAAAAGAAGAGGAUGAACUGGGUGGUGGGUGCCCCCAGUAGCAGCACUGGGUCUUUUCGCUGCCUUGGUUUUUUUUCUGAAUGGUCCUGAUGGCCCCAAUCCUUUUUUUACUUUGAUGAACCUUCCGGAGGAAAAGGGCACAUCGACAGUCAAGGGACUGGUAGCCCAUCCCUUGCCCAGUCCCUGCUGUUAAGAGGAAAACAGGCUAAAGUACGUGGUCAUGUGGAGGCGGCCAGGGCUCCUAUAAGAGUCAGUUGUGAACUAUUCUCACCUGCCCCUUCUCUAUCAUAAGGUAGCACAGCAGGGACGAUUUGGUCUGCCUCCCACCAUUAUGCCGUUCCAGAGCAAGAGCUACUCAAGUGAGCAAAACAGAGGAUGGGACAGGUAUCAGCUCCUUUUGAGACCAGAAGCAGAGAGCGUGGUCAAAGGGAUCAGGAACUGACAUCGCUUGAAAUUGAGAUCUACUUCUUGAGAUUGUCUACAAAACGUUGUCUCUUAAAGUUCUUACACCACUCUUCCAUUGGAACCACUUUCAGGAUAACACACAUACAUACACACAUGGAAUUAUUUUUGGUGUACUACUGUAAUAUUAAAUAUCGGUCUGACUCUUACUUUUAUACAUUACUUUCCCCAUGCCAUCUUGGAAAUUCCUGAGAAUUCUUCAUCACACUCUUUCCACUCCUUUAAUUUUUAAAUUAUAUAGUAAUUCUGCAGCCUACAGAAAUUUAUUUUUAUAUUAUUGGAUAUAUAAAUAUGGCUCAAACUGAGAAUUUUGCAAAAUGCUGGAAGUAGUAAAAAAAAAGUGAACAAACAUGGGUAGUGCACCAACCACCAACACCCCCAAAACAGUUCUAUAAUUGUCAGCCUUGUGAACAGCAAUAUUCUUGGCAUUCAAAACAUCCAGAAAAAAGCAAAGCAAAUAUUCUUUCUUUUCUGAGAUUAAAAAUAUUAUAUGAAGCCUCAUGUAUUUGGUCUUCUGAUUUUCUGCAAACAUCUGCAGUGAAACAUUUGGUUCUGCUUCUGAAGCUGCUGUUGUAGGUUUAAAACAACUUUUUGUUCUUUGUAAUUAAAAACCUUUGUAUGUUUUCCCAUUUUUUCAGAAGUUAUUAGCAUUAACAAUAUUACAUGUUUUAGCAUUUUCUUUCACUAUGCCUUCUCAUAAUGUUUAUGGAGAGGGCAGUUUAAUGCUGACAUAAAGCUGAGUGGUAUUUGACAUUUUUCCUCCAGUUAGACAUAACCAGGCAAAUAAACUAAUCGGACAAAGUAACUUUGUUUUAUUU
rnacentral:lncRNA from 1 species